CAACGAUUUUGAUAAUCUUCCUGGA
rnacentral:miRNA from 1 species